rnacentral:lncRNA from 1 species
UUACAUGUAUAUAUGCAUGCACGUAAUUAAUAUAUAAAAUAUAUAAUAAUAUGUUCACUUCUCUUAGAUGUGUUGUCUCACCUGUGAGACCCAACGGUCACACAUGUUCUAUGUUUUUCUGUUAUGUUGUCACACACUAAGCUUGAAAAUUCGUCGUACAGGAGUAGGCGUGUGAUCCCACAUUGAUAGGAAGAAGGACAUUGCAUGUGCUUAUAAAUUAAUUAGGCUACUCUUCAUAUUCCCAAUUAGUUCUAUGGUAAAACCUUAAUUUUUUUCAAAACGAAGGUAUACAAAAUUAUAGUAUCUAGAACUCUCUUAGUGUCAUCAUGCAUGUAGCAUCUACAACUCUCGCCAUUGACACUUGACAAAGCCACCCCAACUUCCUCAAUCUUUCACGAUCACAAUAUCUCUUUCCUUUUUGGUGAGAUUUAAUUUCUAGAGGUAUGUAUUAUUGUUGUCUGUUGCCAUUGCAAAUCUACAAAAUUGGACAUGACACAGGACUUUUGAAUAGUAGUAUGCAUGCCUCUUCCUUUUAAGAUUAUAAUGGAUGAUUUACUUUUUUUUCUUUUUGUCAAAGAUCAUAAUGGAUAUAUAAUAAGUCGUCUCUAAAUGCAAUCGUUCACAAUUAUGCAAGUUACAAUAUUAAAUACUUUACAAUAUUAAAUUAACAGCUAAAAAUCAUUCAUUCAUUCAUAACAAAUGACGCAGCACAGUCGAACGAGAAAAACAAGUAGCUAGCCUUAACUAGGAGCUUAGAAGGGUGUGAGAUGGUCCUCAUUGGGAAAAACCAUGCAUGCCUCGAAGACCAAGAUCGAAGCAGUCGCCUUAAUUCAGCUGGAUACUUUUCCAGAAGAUUGGCUUUUCUUCUUCCAACCGCGUAUUUUGAUUAGAUGGUUCUCAGAAGU